rnacentral:rRNA from 1 species
CGAAUGCUGACAUAAGUAACGAUAAAGCGGGUGAAAAGCCCGCUCGCCGGAAGACCAAGGGUUCCUGUCCAACGUUAAUCGGGGCAGGGUGAGUCGACCCCUAAGGCGAGGCCGAAAGGCGUAGUCGAUGGGAAACAGGUUAAUAUUCCUGUACUUGGUGUUACUGCGAAGGGGGGACGGAGAAGGCUAUGUUGGCCGGGCGACGGUUGUCCCGGUUUAAGCGUGUAGGCUGGUUUUCCAGGCAAAUCCGGAAAAUCAAGGCUGAGGCGUGAUGACGAGGCACUACGGUGCUGAAGCAACAAAUGCCCUGCUUCCAGGAAAAGCCUCUAAGCAUCAGGUAACAUCAAAUCGUACCCCAAACCGACACAGGUGGUCAGGUAGAGAAUACCAAGGCGCUUGAGAGAACUCGGGUGAAGGAACUAGGCAAAAUGGUGCCGUAACUUCGGGAGAAGGCACGCUGAUAUGUAGGUGAAGCGACUUGCUCGUGGAGCUGAAAUCAGUCGAAGAUACCAGCUGGCUGCAACUGUUUAUUAAAAACACAGCACUGUGCAAACACGAAAGUGGACGUAUACGGUGUGACGCCUGCCCGGUGCCGGAAGGUUAAUUGAUGGGGUUAGCGGUAACGCGAAGCUCUUGAUCGAAGCCCCGGUAAACGGCGGCCGUAACUAUAACGGUCCUAAGGUAGCGAAAUUCCUUGUCGGGUAAGUUCCGACCUGCACGAAUGGCGUAAUGAUGGCCAGGCUGUCUCCACCCGAGACUCAGUGAAAUUGAACUCGCUGUGAAGAUGCAGUGUACCCGCGGCAAGACGGAAAGACCCCGUGAACCUUUACUAUAGCUUGACACUGAACAUUGAGCCUUGAUGUGUAGGAUAGGUGGGAGGCUUUGAAGUGUGGACGCCAGUCUGCAUGGAGCCGGCCUUGAAAUACCACCCUUUAAUGUUUGAUGUUCUAACGUUGGCCCCUGAUCGGGGUUGCGGACAGUGUCUGGUGGGUAGUUUGACUGGGGCGGUCUCCUCCUAAAGAGUAACGGAGGAGCACGAAGGUUGGCUAAUCCUGGUCGGACAUCAGGAGGUUAGUGCAAUGGCAUAAGCCAGCUUGACUGCGAGCGUGACGGCGCGAGCAGGUGCGAAAGCAGGUCAUAGUGAUCCGGUGGUUCUGAAUGGAAGGGCCAUCGCUCAACGGAUAAAAGGUACUCCGGGGAUAACAGGCUGAUACCGCCCAAGAGUUCAUAUCGACGGCGGUGUUUGGCACCUCGAUGUCGGCUCAUCACAUCCUGGGGCUGAAGUAGGUCCCAAGGGUAUGGCUGUUCGCCAUUUAAAGUGGUACGCGAGCUGGGUUUAGAACGUCGUGAGACAGUUCGGUCCCUAUCUGCCGUGGGCGCUGGAGAACUGAGGGGGGCUGCUCCUAGUACGAGAGGACCGGAGUGGACGCAUCACUGGUGUUCGGGUUGUCAUGCCAAUGGCACUGCCCGGUAGCUAAAUGCGGAAGAGAUAAGUGCUGAAAGCAUCUAAGCACGAAACUUGCCCCGAGAUGAGUUCUCCCUGAGACUUU